AUUGUUCUAGUUAAGAAGAUAGUAUAAGUGACUUCCUAUCACAAGGUCUUGGUUUAUCCCCAUGGAAAGAUA
rnacentral:tRNA from 1 species